rnacentral:rRNA from 2 species
UUAAGCGACUAAGCGUACACGGUGGAUGCCCUGGCAGUCAGAGGCGAUGAAGGACGUGCUAAUCUGCGAUAAGCGUCGGUGAGGUGAUAUGAACCGUUAUAACCGGCGAUUUCCGAAUGGGGAAACCCAGUGUGUUUCGACACACUAUCAUUAACUGAAUCCAUAGGUUAAUGAGGCGAACCGGGGGAACUGAAACAUCUAAGUACCCCGAGGAAAAGAAAUCAACCGAGAUUCCCCCAGUAGCGGCGAGCGAACGGGGAGGAGCCCAGAGCCUGAAUCAGUGUGUGUGUUAGUGGAAGCGUCUGGAAAGGCGCGCGAUACAGGGUGACAGCCCCGUACACAAAAAUGCACAUAUUGUGAGCUCGAUGAGUAGGGCGGGACACGUGGUAUCCUGUCUGAAUAUGGGGGGACCAUCCUCCAAGGCUAAAUACUCCUGACUGACCGAUAGUGAACCAGUACCGUGAGGGAAAGGCGAAAAGAACCCCGGCGAGGGGAGUGAAAAAGAACCUGAAACCGUGUACGUACAAGCAGUGGGAGCCUCUUAAUGGGGUGACUGCGUACCUUUUGUAUAAUGGGUCAGCGACUUAUAUUCUGUAGCAAGGUUAACCGAAUAGGGGAGCCGAAGGGAAACCGAGUCUUAACUGGGCGUUAAGUUGCAGGGUAUAGACCCGAAACCCGGUGAUCUAGCCAUGGGCAGGUUGAAGGUUGGGUAACACUAACUGGAGGACCGAACCGACUAAUGUUGAAAAAUUAGCGGAUGACUUGUGGCUGGGGGUGAAAGGCCAAUCAAACCGGGAGAUAGCUGGUUCUCCCCGAAAGCUAUUUAGGUAGCGCCUCGUGAAUUCAUCUCCGGGGGUAGAGCACUGUUUCGGCAAGGGGGUCAUCCCGACUUACCAACCCGAUGCAAACUGCGAAUACCGGAGAAUGUUAUCACGGGAGACACACGGCGGGUGCUAACGUCCGUCGUGAAGAGGGAAACAACCCAGACCGCCAGCUAAGGUCCCAAAGUCAUGGUUAAGUGGGAAACGAUGUGGGAAGGCCCAGACAGCCAGGAUGUUGGCUUAGAAGCAGCCAUCAUUUAAAGAAAGCGUAAUAGCUCACUGGUCGAGUCGGCCUGCGCGGAAGAUGUAACGGGGCUAAACCAUGCACCGAAGCUGCGGCAGCGACACUAUGUGUUGUUGGGUAGGGGAGCGUUCUGUAAGCCUGUGAAGGUGGCCUGUGAGGGUUGCUGGAGGUAUCAGAAGUGCGAAUGCUGACAUAAGUAACGAUAAAGCGGGUGAAAAGCCCGCUCGCCGGAAGACCAAGGGUUCCUGUCCAACGUUAAUCGGGGCAGGGUGAGUCGACCCCUAAGGCGAGGCCGAAAGGCGUAGUCGAUGGGAAACAGGUUAAUAUUCCUGUACUUGGUGUUACUGCGAAGGGGGGACGGAGAAGGCUAUGUUGGCCGGGCGACGGUUGUCCCGGUUUAAGCGUGUAGGCUGGUUUUCCAGGCAAAUCCGGAAAAUCAAGGCUGAGGCGUGAUGACGAGGCACUACGGUGCUGAAGCGACAAAUGCCCUGCUUCCAGGAAAAGCCUCUAAGCAUCAGGUAACAUCAAAUCGUACCCCAAACCGACACAGGUGGUCAGGUAGAGAAUACCAAGGCGCUUGAGAGAACUCGGGUGAAGGAACUAGGCAAAAUGGUGCCGUAACUUCGGGAGAAGGCACGCUGAUAUGUAGGUGAAGCGACUUGCUCGUGGAGCUGAAAUCAGUCGAAGAUACCAGCUGGCUGCAACUGUUUAUUAAAAACACAGCACUGUGCAAACACGAAAGUGGACGUAUACGGUGUGACGCCUGCCCGGUGCCGGAAGGUUAAUUGAUGGGGUUAGCGGUAACGCGAAGCUCUUGAUCGAAGCCCCGGUAAACGGCGGCCGUAACUAUAACGGUCCUAAGGUAGCGAAAUUCCUUGUCGGGUAAGUUCCGACCUGCACGAAUGGCGUAAUGAUGGCCAGGCUGUCUCCACCCGAGACUCAGUGAAAUUGAACUCGCUGUGAAGAUGCAGUGUACCCGCGGCAAGACGGAAAGACCCCGUGAACCUUUACUAUAGCUUGACACUGAACAUUGAGCCUUGAUGUGUAGGAUAGGUGGGAGGCUUUGAAGUGUGGACGCCAGUCUGCAUGGAGCCGACCUUGAAAUACCACCCUUUAAUGUUUGAUGUUCUAACGUGGGCCCCUUACCGGGGUUGCGGACAGUGUCUGGUGGGUAGUUUGACUGGGGCGGUCUCCUCCUAAAGAGUAACGGAGGAGCACGAAGGUUGGCUAAUCCUGGUCGGACAUCAGGAGGUUAGUGCAAUGGCAUAAGCCAGCUUGACUGCGAGCGUGACGGCGCGAGCAGGUGCGAAAGCAGGUCAUAGUGAUCCGGUGGUUCUGAAUGGAAGGGCCAUCGCUCAACGGAUAAAAGGUACUCCGGGGAUAACAGGCUGAUACCGCCCAAGAGUUCAUAUCGACGGCGGUGUUUGGCACCUCGAUGUCGGCUCAUCACAUCCUGGGGCUGAAGUAGGUCCCAAGGGUAUGGCUGUUCGCCAUUUAAAGUGGUACGCGAGCUGGGUUUAGAACGUCGUGAGACAGUUCGGUCCCUAUCUGCCGUGGGCGCUGGAGAACUGAGGGGGGCUGCUCCUAGUACGAGAGGACCGGAGUGGACGCAUCACUGGUGUUCGGGUUGUCAUGCCAAUGGCACUGCCCGGUAGCUAAAUGCGGAAGAGAUAAGUGCUGAAAGCAUCUAAGCACGAAACUUGCCCCGAGAUGAGUUCUCCCUGACUCCUUGAGAGUCCUGAAGGAACGUUGAAGACGACGACGUUGAUAGGCCGGGUGUGUAAGCGCAGCGAUGCGUUGAGCUAACCGGUACUAAUGAACCGUGAGGCUUAACCU